UACCUUAGUCCUGCUUGCAACCGAAGUCUUUAAAGAUAUGUUUGCCCUCUGGUUGGUAUUAUCAUAGGAACAAGUUAGUCCUUUUUGAACAGACUAAGGGCGAUUUUUAUUUUUGACAAAUAUUCCGUACAAUUGAAAUAAACUAUUUCCUUGUUUACCACAGCAGGGAUUGAACAAUAUGUGCCAGAAGGGGAGUGGGCCGGAAUCAAACCCAUGCUGACACGGAAUUUCAUGAUGCACAGGAAACAUUUUCCAUGACAAAAGAGUGAUCAAAUUAAGAUCCAACAUCUGUAGUUUUUCCGAGCCAAUGUGCUUCUGCCUCUGCAUUGCUUCCUCUUUGGGUUUUUAGACUGGGCAUCUGAAAAGUACUUUGUGAUAGCUGCUGAUGUAAAAAGGGCUUUAAACAUACAUUUGAUUGAUUAAUUGAGGUCUGGACCAUUAUGGCACAGGGAGGUAUUGCACUUUCCCAGUACAUUGCAUAUCACUCACUCCAGUAGGUUGUAGUAAACAUCACUGACAUCAUUGAGUGGUUGAUGCUGAUUGGUUGUUUCUGCCAGGUUAACUACGGCACUGACGUGUAGUUGAUCAGGAGGGAGGAGGAGCCAGAGAGCUUUGACGGCAUUGUGACCAAUCUGAGAGAUGUCGUCAUAGCAGCAACAGGAGCUGACUGUGCGCCCCUCCUCUUCACUGACCCCCAGGCCAAGGUCAUUGGAACUGUUCACAAACGUGAGGGUCUUGAUACCGUAAUACAGUAGUAAUAUUCCCCAGAAACAUGCCCGGUGCAUCAGUCUAAAGUGUCCCCCUCUGUGUGUCCCUCUCUCAGGAUGGAAAGAAACCCAUAUGGAAGUUGCCAUAGCUACAGUCAACGCCAUGGUGACCGGGUUCGGCAGCAGCAUGUGGGAUGUCACUGUGGUGAUCGGGCCAUCGAAUACUUCUCCAGAGGGGUGGGGUCUUGCCUGAGGGUAUCCAUGACGACACGGUGAAUGACAGGCCGAGCGUGACCCUAUGUACAUCCUCUCACCCUGAGGCCUUCUUCUCCCGCGUCAGGGACGGGCUUAACUUUGGAACACAGGUGGGCUUCCUGUGGAUGCACUAACUGGAACUACUGACUGUUGUGAACACUGAGUAAAUUUAUAUUAGAUCUUUAUUAAAUAUACAUUCAGCCAUAACUGUCUGUUGCAUCCAACACAAAAAGGAUAUAUUCCAGAAUAAAACAUUUUCAAAUAUAUAUAUUUUUUAACCUUUAUUUAACUAGGCAAUAUACAGUAUAUUCACUUCAUAUUCAUACACUUCAUGUUCCAGUCAUUGUGUAAUACGGUAGCAGUAACUCUCAAAGGGUGGCGAUGAUGCUUUGUUUGUUAAUCUUUGUCUCAAUCUCUACAUUUGAAAGAUCUCAGGAAUCACGUCAUUAUGAAUAGCCUACGUGGCGUGCACAUAAAUGAAAACCCAAUAUAGAACGUUUGAUUUAAAGAAACUGAAUAGCAAGGCAUAUAAAGUCACUAGUUCAGAUCUUGUAUCACUUUAGUGUGUGUUUUAUGAUGCCACGCUCUAUUAAAGCUACUGCUAAACACGUCAUAACUGCGUUGUGAAGUUCCACACCAGCUACUUUAAUUAA
rnacentral:lncRNA from 13 species